AUAGAUCAUCAGAAACCCACUUGCAAACGGUGUCAUCGAAGUUCUCUCUCAAAAGGAGGAAAUACAUCGAACUUAAUAAAACACCUCAAAGACCGACACCCAGAUUUAAUGAAAGUUCAAGCAGCUGCAGGCUGAAGAAGACCACGAACCAAACUCUUAAGCAGACAAUGGUUCCAGAUGCUUUUGAGCAGCAGAAGUACGACAAAAAGGCAAGAAAACUGAACCGAGCUGUUGCUGAAUUCACAUGUAUGGAUUAAGUGCCAGUUUAUACAGUGAAAAAUGGGGAUUCCAGCAAAUGCUUCAUCACCUCAGCUCAAAAUACCAGCUUCCAAGUCAAAACUUUGUUUUAUUUUUGUUUGUUAUAAAUAAAAAUAGUGUGUUGUUCAA